GCAUGGUGUAGUUGGUUAUUAUAUUCGCUUAGCAUGAGGGGGUGCUGGGUUCAAACCCCAGUAUGUCCA